rnacentral:rRNA from 1 species
UCAAUUAUUUAUAGCCUCUGGCUAUAGGAAAUUGUUAGUGGCAGACGGGUGAGUAAUGCGUAGGAAUCUACCUAGUAGUACGGAAUAGCCAUUAGAAAUGGUGGGUAAUACUGUAUAAUCCCCGAGGGGGAAAGAUUUAUCGCUAUUAGAUGAGCCUACGUUAGAUUAGCUAGUUGGUGAGGUAAUGGCUUACCAAGGCUAUGAUCUAUAGCUGGUCUGAGAGGACGAUCAGCCACACUGGAACUGAGAUACGGUCCAGACUCCUACGGGAGGCAGCAGUGGGGAAUAUUGGACAAUGGGCGAAAGCCUGAUCCAGCUAUGCCGCGUGAGUGAAGAAGGCCUUCGGGU